rnacentral:rRNA from 1 species
UACGUAGGGGGCAAGCGUUGUCCGGAUUUAUUGGGCGUAAAGCGCGCGUAGGCGGCCGCUCAAGUCGGAUGUGAAAAUCCGGGGCUCAACCCCGGACCUGCAUUCGAUACUGGGUGGCUAGAGGCAGGUAGGGGAGAGCGGAAUUCCUGGUGUAGCGGUGAAAUGCGCAGAUAUCAGGAGGAACACCGGUGGCGAAGGCGGCUCUCUGGGCCUGUCCUGACGCUCAGGCGCGAAAGCUAGGGGAGCAAACAGG